rnacentral:rRNA from 1 species
AAUGAACGGUGGCGGCGUGGAUUAGGCAUGCGAGUCGUGCGAGAACCGUAGCAAUACGGGGACAGCGGCGAAAGGGAGAGGAACACGUGGAUACCUACCCUCAGGUUCAGGAUAGCUAUGGGAACCUAUAGGUAAUACUGAAUGAUAUCUCCGGAUCAAAGGUGUGAUUCCGCCGGAGGAGGGGUCCGCGUCCUGUUAGCUAGUUGGUGUGGUAAAGGCUCACCAAGGCAAAGAUGGGUACGGGGUGUGAGAGCAUGAUCCCGCUCAUUGGGACUGAGACACUGCCCAGACACCUACGGGUGGCUGCAGUCGAGAAUCUUCGGCAAUGGGGGAAACCCUGACCGAGCGACGCCGCGUGUGAGAUGAAGGCCUUCGGGUUGUAAAUCACUGUCGUAGGGGAGGAAAUAUUGGUGGGUUCUCCCAUCAGUUUGACCUAUCCUAGGAGGAAGGACGGGCUAAGUACGACCCAGCCGCCGCAGUAA